AGCUCUACCUUUCUUCAUUCCGAUGACUGUUUCCUGCCAAGCUGAGCUCGUAUUCAGCACCGAUGAAAAUAUUGUAGGUGAAUCCUCAACACUUAACUGCAAAAGCUUGAAACACUUGGCUGGUCUCAAUUGUCAACUCCAUCAGGGAUAGCAGUGGUAGAGCUGGUGACUAUUCCCAGGAUGGAAGGAUGCUUGUUGAAUCGAUGCAACGAUGCUUGUUGAAUUGGUACAUUGAUGCUUGAUGUUGCUGCUGUUUAUUACUCACUGAU